GGCUCGUUAGCUUAGCGGUUAGAGCAUCCAUUCUUAAAUGGUGGUCGGAGGUUCAAUUCCUUCACGAGCCA
rfam:Papilio xuthus contig12262, whole genome shotgun sequence.